rnacentral:snoRNA from 1 species
ACUCUCCAAAUUCCUUACCCUUCAGAUCAAAAUAUUGGGCUGAGUGGCUCAAAAAAGGAGGAAAAGUAAAACUGGAGUGAACCUGGAGUCUUUGCUGACUUACAACUUCGUUUCCAACGUUA